AUUGAACGCUGGCGGCAGGCCUAACACAUGCAAGUCGAACGGUAACAGGAAGCAGCUUGCUGCUUCGCUGACGAGUGGCGGACGGGUGAGUAAUGUCUGGGAAACUGCCUGAUGGAGGGGGAUAACUACUGGAAACGGUAGCUAAUACCGCAUAACGUCGCAAGACCAAAGAGGGGGACCUUAGGGCUCUUGGCAUCGGAUGUGCCCAGAUGGGAUUAGCUAGUAGGUGGGGUAACGGCUCACCUAGGCGACGAUCCCUAGCUGGUCUGAGAGGAUGACCAGCCACACUGGAACUGAGACACGGUCCAGACUCCUACGGGAGGCAGCAGUGGGGAAUAUUGCACAAUGGGCGCAAGCCUGAUGCAGCCAUGCCGCGUGUAUGAAGAAGGCCUUCGGGUUGCAAAGUACUUUCAGCGGGGAGGAAGGGAGUAAAGUUAAUACCUUGGCUCAUUGACGUUACCCGCAGAAGAAGCACCGGCUAACUCCGUG
rnacentral:rRNA from 1 species